CCCUCUCUCGGGGAAGCUAGGAGCACUGCAGGAGGCUCUACAUGCCACUGCCAGCUGGUACAUUGGAACGCUGUUGCUUAUUGCUUAAUACCUUCUAUUAGAUGUAUUUAUUAACAACAUGAUGAUAAUGAUGAUGAAGAUGGUGAUGAUGACAACACGGUAGAAAUGGAAAAAUCUGACUCCAAAAGGGGGAGGAAUACAUUGUCUUGAGAACAGAAGAGGAUUUUGGCCCACCUAGAAUCGGAGUUAAACAUAGUCCUGAGCCACCAUGUAGGUGCCCAGAAAUUAACCCAGGUCCUCUACAAGAGCAACAAGUGUUUUAACUACUGCAAUGUCUCUUCAGCU